AAGAAAGAUGUUAAGGGCAAUCGGUGGAUGCCUUGGCGUCAGGAGGCGAUGAAGGACGUGGCAGGCUGCGAUAAGUUCCGGUGAGGAGUCAAACAUCCUUUGACCCGGAAAUUUCCGAAUGGGGCAACCCAGCUGGAGUAAUGUCCAGUUAUCUCUAAGCUGAAUACAUAGGCUUUGAGAGGCGAACUCGGGGAAGUGAAACAUCUCAGUACCCGAAGGAGUAGAAAUCAAAAGAGAUUCCCCUAGUAGCGGCGAGCGAACGGGGAUUAGCCCAAACCGGGUGGUUUCGACCAUCCGGGGUUGUAGGACCUCAAUAAUUGAUCCGUUAUUAGAUAGCAGAACAUUCUGGCAAGGAUGACCGCAGAGGGUGACAGUCCCGUAUGCGAAAUCGAAAACGGCAAGUGAGGCACCUGAGUAGGGCGGGACACGAGAAAUCCCGUUUGAAUCUGGGAGGACCAUCUUCCAAGGCUAAAUACUACCUGACGACCGAUAGUGAACCAGUACCGUGAGGGAAAGGUGAAAAGAACCCCUGUUAGGGGAGUGCAAUAGAACCUGAAACCGAUUGCUUACAAGCAGUGGGAGCACCUUUUUGGUGUGACCGCGUGCCUUUUGCAUAAUGGGCCAGCGAGUUACGCUACAGUGCAAGGUUAAGCCGCGAGGUGUAGCCGAAGCGAAAGCGAGUCUGAAUAGGGCGUUUAGUACUGUGGAGUAGACCCGAAGCCGGGUGAUCUAUCCAUGAGCAGGCUGAAGCUUGAGUAAAAUCAAGUGGAGGGCCGAACCAGUAUCAGUUGAAAAUGAUUUGGAUGACUUGUGGAUAGGGGUGAAAGGCCAAUCAAACCCGGUGAUAGCUGGUUCUCUCCGAAAUAUAUUGAGGUAUAGCCUCAGGAGUUUACUUGCGGAGGUAGAGCACUGAAAGGGCUAGGGGGCUUACCCGCUUACCAAACCCUAUCAAACUCCGAAUGCCGUAAGUCCAAUCCUGGGAGUCAGACUGCGGGUGAGAAGGUCCGUAGUCGAAAGGGAAACAGCCCAGACCGACAGCUAAGGUCCCUAAAUCCAUACUGAGUGGGAAAGGAAGUGAAGUCGCUUAGACAGCCAGGAGGUUGGCUUAGAAGCAGCCAUCCUUUAAAGAAAGCGUAAUAGCUCACUGGUCUAGCGACUUCGCGCCGAAAAUGUAACGGGGCUAAGUAUGGUGCCGAAGCUUCGGAAUCGCGCUUGCGCGGUUGGUAGGAGAGCGUUCUCAUAUGGGAUGAAGAUCGAUUGGAAAGUCGGUUGGACUUGUGAGAAGUGAAUAUGCUGGCAUGAGUAACGAUAAAACAGGUGAGAAACCUGUUCGCCGUAAACCCAAGGUUUCCUGGGUAAAGUUAAUCUUCCCAGGGUUAGUCGGCCCCUAAGGCGAGGCUGAAAAGCGUAGUCGAUGGGAAACGGGUUAAUAUUCCCGUACCCGCGUGAUAUUGUUUGAACGAUGGGGGGACGCAGGAAGGUAGGUCAUCCGGCUGUUGGAAUAGCCGGUGCAAACUUGUAGGGAUGAGUUCCAGGCAAAUCCGGAACUCUCUAUCCCGAGAAGUGAUGCCGAGUCGUAAGACAUAAGUGAUUGAUCCUAUGCUGCCGAGAAAAGCCUCUAAGUGAGAUGUCAUGUGGACCGUACCGCAAACCAACACAGGUGGGUGGGGUGAGUAACCCAAGGCGCUUGAGAGAACUCUGGUUAAGGAACUCGGCAAAAUGACCCCGUAACUUCGGGAGAAGGGGUGCCGCUUUUGGUGAUCAUAUUUACUUUGUGAGCUGAAGGCGGUCGCAGAUAAAUGGCGGUGGCGACUGUUUACUAAAAACAUAGGUCUCUGCGAAGUCGUAAGACGACGUAUAGGGACUGACACCUGCCCGGUGCCGGAAGGUUAAGAGGAGGUGUUAGCGCAAGCGAAGCUCCGAAUUGAAGCCCCGGUAAACGGCGGCCGUAACUAUAACGGUCCUAAGG
rnacentral:rRNA from 1 species